rnacentral:rRNA from 1 species
AUUGAACGCUGGCGGCAUGCCUUACACAUGCAAGUCGAACGGUAACAGGUCUUCGGAUGCUGACGAGUGGCGAACGGGUGAGUAAUACAUCGGAACGCGCCCGAUCGUGGGGGAUAACGGAGCGAAAGCUUUGCUAAUACCGCAUACGAUCUACGGAUGAAAGCAGGGGACCGCAAGGCCUUGCGCGGACGGAGCGGCCGAUGGCAGAUUAGGUAGUUGGUGGGAUAAAAGCUUACCAAGCCGACGAUCUGUAGCUGGUCUGAGAGGACGACCAGCCACACUGGGACUGAGAUACGGCCCAGACUCCUACGGGAGGCAGCAGCUAAGAAUAUUCCGCAAUGGACGAAAGUCUGACGGAGCGACGCCGCGUGAGGGAUGAAGGUUUUCGGAUCGUAAACCUCUGUUGUACGGGAAGAAGGACUUGACGGUACCGUACGAGGAAGCCCCGGCAAACUACGUG